AGGCUCGUGUCGUGAGAUGUUGGGUUAAGUCCCGCAACCAGCGCAACCCCCGCCUUUAGUUGCUACCAUUCAGUUGAGCACUCUAAAGGGACCGCCGGCGUUAAGCCGGAGGAAGGUGGGGAUGACGUCAAGUCCUCAUGGCCCUUAUGUCCAGGGCUACACACGUGCUACAAUGGGCGGUACAGAGGGUUGCCAACCCGCGAGGGGGAGCCAAUCCCAGAAAGCCGUCCUCAGUUCAGAUUGGAGUCUGCAACUCGACUCCAUGAAGGUGGAAUCGCUAGUAAUCGCGGAUCAGCAUGCCGCGGUGAAUACGUUCCCGGGCCUU
rnacentral:rRNA from 1 species